GAGUCUCCAGAGGCACUGCCGAAUGUCUAAGAAGCAACCUCAUUGUAUUCCCAAGAGCUGGGAAUCCAGGUCUCGCAGAUACGAUGAUACAAUCUAUAGCCAGGACAUCUCUUCAUGUGUAGUUUUCAAUGAAUACUAGGAUAAGCAACUAUCCCAGUCUUCCCAGGAUUGAGGGACUUCUCCAGAUGCUGCACUUCCGGUGCUAAAAAUUAGAAACUGAAAUGAAUUAGUCACCCAAGGAAUGCUGACCCUGUGCUAUAUGAUCACAUUUACUCUUUAAAGCAAUGCUUUGAGGCCAAGCUAUAAAUAAAGGGUGGACUGACCUUGUCAACUGUUAAAUUGGAGCCAUGGUGCGUUGCCUAGAACAUCGAGGAUGACCCCGAGCAGCACAGCAGACCAACGGCUGAGAAAGAGCUCAUUCGGCUCAUCUAACUAGGAUGCCUUCCUGCCAGAGCCCUAGGGGUUCUCGUCUCCUAGGGCAAAAGCAGCAUGCAACCCUUAUGAACCCAUCUUGGAGGGCAUUCGGGGAGCCCAAGACAAGACCAUUGGGAGCAUCAGGGUCACUUUUGGGGGUCUCUG
rnacentral:lncRNA from 1 species